rnacentral:rRNA from 1 species
UACGUAGGGGGCAAGCGUUGUCCGGAAUCAUUGGGCGUAAAGAGCGUGUAGGCGGCCCGAUAAGUCCGCUGUGAAAGUCCAGGGCUCAACCCUGGAAUGCCGGUGGAUACUGUCGGGCUCGAAUCCGGAAGAGGUGAGUGGAAUUCCUGGUGUAGCGGUGAAAUGCGCAGAUAUCAGGAGGAACACCAAUGGCGAAGGCAGCUCACUGGGACGGUAUUGACGCUGAGACGCGAAAGCGUGGGGAGUAAACGGG